CAUAACCCGAAGGUCGUAGGUUCAAAUCCUGCCCCCGC
rnacentral:tRNA from 14 species